AUUGAACGCUGGCGGCAGGCUUAACACAUGCAAGUCGAGCGAGCGGCGGACGGGUGAGUAAUGUCUGGGAAACUGCCUGAUGGAGGGGGAUAACUACUGGAAACGGUAGCUAAUACCGCAUACCAUCAGAUGUGCCCAGAUGGGAUUAGCUAGUAGGUGGGGUAAUGGCUCACCUAGUCGACGAUCCCUACCUGGUCUGAGAGGAUGACCAGACACACGGGAACUGAGACGCGGUCCAGAAUCCUACGGAAGGGAGCAGUGGGGAAUAUUGCGCAAUGGGCGCAAGCCUGAUACAGCCAUGCCGCGUGUGUGAAGAAGGCAUUCGGGUUGUAAAGCACUUUCAGCGAGGAGGCGUUACUCGCAGAAGAAGCACCGGCUAACGCCGUGCCGGCAGCCGCGGUAAUUC
rnacentral:rRNA from 1 species